rnacentral:rRNA from 1 species
AUUGAACGCUGGCGGCAUGCCUUACACAUGCAAGUCGAACGGUAACGGGCCUUCGGGUGCCGACGAGUGGCGAACGGGUGAGUAAUACAUCGGAACGUGCCCGAUCGUGGGGGAUAACGAGGCGAAAGCUUUGCUAAUACCGCAUACGAUCUACGGAUGAAAGCCGGGGACCGCAAGGCCUUGCGCGGACGGAGCGGCCGAUGGCAGAUUAGGUAGUUGGUGGGAUAAAAGCUUACCAAGCCGACGAUCUGUAGCUGGUCUGAGAGGAUGAUCGGCCACACUGGGACUGAGACACGGCCCAGACUCCUACGGGAGGCAGCAGUGGGGAAUUUUGGACAAUGGGCGCAAGCCUGAUCCAGCCAUGCCGCGUGCAGGAUGAAGGCCUUUGGGUUGUAAACUGCUUUUGUACGGAACGAAAAGCCUUCUUUUAAUACAGGAGGGUCAUGACGGUACCGUAAGAAUAAGCACCGGCUAACUACGUG